rnacentral:misc_RNA from 1 species
AAACCAGCUGAUCAUGAGUACAGCCAGCACCAGCAGAAGAAUGACCAACAACAUCACCAUUGCUUCGGCGGCCACGUCUCCGACAAGAUCAAAGGUGUCUUCAAAGGCCACCAUCACGGCCAGGCUCCACCAGCAGUGGCGCCGGUGCACCACUCUGCCAAUGCUAACCACUGCAAGCCAGCUGGGUCAAAGAAGAAGAAGGAACACCACAAGAAUAAAGAAGGAGGUUUGUUUCAUAAGAUCAAGGAUGCCUUUUCUGACCACAGCAGUGACA